rnacentral:lncRNA from 1 species
ACACAUGCACAACACACACACACACACGCACAAACACAAGCAAGCACGCGCACACACACACACACACGAUGAUGAUGAUGGUAGUGGCAAGGAGCUGCUAGGUGUGACGGGGAGCUGCUAGGUGUGACGGGCAGCUGCUAGGUGUGACGGGGAGCUGCUAGGUGUGACGGGGAGCUGCUAGGUGUGACGGGGAGCUGCUAGGUGUGACGGGCAGCUGCUAGGUGUGACGGGCAGCUACUAGGUUUGACGGGCAGCUGCUAGGUGUGACGGGCAGCUGCUAGGUGUGACGGGCAGCUGCUAGGUGUGACGGGCAGCUGCUAGGUGUGACGGGCAGCUGCUAGGUGUGACGGGCAGCUGCUAGGUGUGACGGGCAGCUGCUAGGUGUGACGGGCAGCUGCUUGGUGUGACGGGGAGCUGCUAGGUGUGACGGGCAGCUGCUAGGUGUGACGGGGAGCUGCUAGGUGUGACGGGCAGCUGCUAGGUGUGACGGGCAGCUGCUAGGUGUUGGUAUUAUUUCUUUAAUGACUUAUUGUACCAUUGAUAUGUCUAUAAACGAAGUCUACUGUUGUUUUCAAGUGAACUCUCUCUCUCUCUCUCUCUCUCUGUCUCUCUCUCUCUGUCUCUCUCUCUCUCUCUCUGUCUCUCUCUCUCUCUCUCUCUCUCUCAAUAGUGAAUCAAAAUGGACUUAGUGAAGUAUUAAGUGUGGCACAUGGGUUACAUUGUGGCCAAGUACAGUUGAUGAGGUUUGUGUUAUGAAUUGACCACAGUUACCAACUCUCCAUUAAAGAUGUGGAAUAUGACUUAUUAGAUGUGGCUGUUGUUUAUACUGUACUGCAUUAGUUGAGUUAUGUCAGAGUUAUUAGGAUAAGUUUAUGCCCGGUGAUGGUGGUAAGAUCAUUAUCCCACCCCUCCUCAUCCCCUUAGAUGGUUCGCGGCUCAGUUAAGCUUCAGGCUGGUUAAGCUUGGAGAGGAUCGGGUGAGCACUUGGGGGAGCUAAUCUUCAAGUAAUCCAUAAAUGCCUAAAUUUCCGAAUGGUCUUGUUUUAGGUGUUACUAUCAUCUACAGUUUAACACAGUGCAGGUCAUCAAGAAAGUGCUAUGAUUCAAAUUGUUUAGUAUAUCGAUUAUACAGUACAUUGGUGUGGAGAUGACUUAUGGGGACCCCUUGGUACAGCACAGUGUGGAGGUGACUUAUGGGGACCCCUUGGUACAGCACAGUGUGGAGGUGACUUAUGGGGACCCCUUGGUACAGCACAGUGUGGAGGUGACUUAUGGGGACCCCUUGGUACAGCACAGUGUGGAGGUGACUUAUGGGGACCCCUUGGUACAGCACAGUGUGGAGGUGGA